rnacentral:rRNA from 2 species
CWSRRGAACUUUCMGAGAUGSWUUGGUGCCUUCGGGAACUCUGAGACAGGUGCUGCAUGGCUGUCGUCAGCUCGUGUUGUGAAAUGUUGGGUUAAGUCCCGCAACGAGCGCAACCCUUAUCCUUUGUUGCCAGCGGUUAGGCCGGGAACUCAAAGGAGACUGCCAGUGAUAAACUGGAGGAAGGUGGGGAUGACGUCAAGUCAUCAUGGCCCUUACGAGUAGGGCUACACACGUGCUACAAUGGCGCAUACAAAGAGAAGCGACCUCGCGAGAGCAAGCGGACCUCAUAAAGUGCGUCGUAGUCCGGAUUGGAGUCUGCAACUCGACUCCAUGAAGUCGGAAUCGCUAGUAAUCGUAGAUCAGAAUGCUACGGUGAAUACGUUCCCGGGUCUUGUACACACCGA